GUGCUGGCUUCGGCAGCGCAUGUGCUGGAACUGGAACAAUACAGAGAAGAUUAGCGUGGCCCCUGCGCAGGGAUGACACGCACAUUCGUAAAGAGUUCCAAUUUUAA
ensembl:snRNA U6 U6 spliceosomal RNA